rnacentral:lncRNA from 1 species
CACAGACUCAACAGACACAUGGAAUGAAUUUAUAAAUUGAUAAGCACACUACAUGAGUAAAAUAAAAUAUUUCCUUUUUCCAGUAUUUUUCAUUUUAUAAUAUUCCAUGAUGCGAUUAAAUUUUUAUACAAUCAUAUUUCAUUCAACUAGACAACAAAAAUUAAUUUAGUGCCUAUGCUGAACCAGGUAUGCCCUCAUAUGCUCAAGUGCCUGACAUUCUAGAAGCUUCACAAGACCGAAGUGGAGCCACUGGAGUGUUUUAGGUGAAGAAACGACACACUUUGACUCACAGUAGCAGGACCACUGUGGAGAGAACACUCAGGUGGCAGGUUUAAAAAAAUACUAAGUGUUCCAAUAAAACAUGCACACCACUUAGAUGCGGAUACUUCCUAAAAACAGGAAGUGCAUGAGCACUGGUGAGGGGCAUUGUGACUGCGUUGAACACUUGCAACUUUGAGGUGAAUGAAUGUAUUGGCUCCUGGUUGCAAUAUACAAUCACACGUUGUGCUACUUUGUAUUGUCAGGAGAUGUCCUGGACUCCCACAGAAACUCAGGGCUAUGGAAUGAAGGUAAUUUUAGAAUACAACAAGAGUCACAGAUACAUAGUCUGGGAAAGCAAAACUUAGGAGCUCUGAGAGUUGUACAACUGUAAUGCAUUUAGACACAUUUAUAUAUCAAGGGGCCAAAGUAACAGUUUUUACACAUAAGAUUCCUGAUUGGUCGGGCGCGGUGGCUCAUGCCUGUAAUCGCAGCACUUUGGGAGGCCGAGGCGGGAGGAUCACGAGGUCAGGAGAUCGAGACCAUCCUGGCUAACACGGUGAAACCCGUCUCUACAAAAAAAUUAGCCGG